rnacentral:rRNA from 1 species
UACGUAGGGACCAAGCGUUGUUCGGAUUUACUGGGCGUAAAGGGCGCGUAGGCGGCGUGACAAGUCACUUGUGAAAUCUCUGGGCUUAACCCAGAACGGCCAAGUGAUACUGUUGUGCUAGGAGGUGCAGAAGGGGCAAUCGGAAUUCUUGGUGUAGCGGUGAAAUGCGUAGAUAUCAAGAGGAACACCUGGAGGUGAAGACGGGUUGCUGGGCUGACACUGACGCUGGAAGCGACGAAAGCUAGGGUAGCAAACGGG